rnacentral:ncRNA from 2 species
ACUCUCGGCAACGGAUAUCUCGGC